rnacentral:pre_miRNA from 1 species
AUUGCCUCCCCACAGUGAGCUUACAGUCUAGAGGGAGAAUUUCAUGACAUUUCAAUUUCAUUUCCCCUCUCUAGACUGUAAGCUCCCUGUGGGCAGGGUUG